rnacentral:rRNA from 1 species
UACGUAGGGCGCAAGCGUUAUCCGGAAUUAUUGGGCGUAAAGAGCUCGUAGGCGGUUUGUCGCGUCUGCCGUGAAAGUCCGGGGCUCAACUCCGGAUCUGCGGUGGGUACGGGCAGACUAGAGUGAUGUAGGGGAGACUGGAAUUCCUGGUGUAGCGGUGAAAUGCGCAGAUAUCAGGAGGAACACCGAUGGCGAAGGCAGGUCUCUGGGCAUUAACUGACGCUCAGGCACGAAAGCGUGGGGAGCAAAAGGG